UGGCUCACUUCGGCAGCACAUAUACUAAAAUUGGAGCGAUACAGAGAAGAUUAGCGUGGCCCCUGCACAAGGAUGACACACAAAUUCGUGAAACGUUCCCUAUUUUA
rnacentral:snRNA from 1 species